rnacentral:misc_RNA from 2 species
AACGCAUAUUGCGCUCUCUGGUAUUCCGGAGAGCAUGCUUGUUUGAGUAUCAGUAAACACCUCAACUCCCUCUUUUCUUUUCUGAAAUGAGGGAGCUGGACUUGAGUGAUCCCAACACUUUUCUUCACUGAAAAGUGGCGGGUCACUUGAAAUGCAGGUGCAGCUGGACUUUUCUCUGAGCUAUAAGCAUAUCUAUUUAGUCUGCCUAAAAAACAGAUUAUUACCUUUGCUGCAGCUAACAUAAAGGAGAUGAGUUCUUGUGCUGACUGAUGCAGGAUUCACAGAGACAGCUUCGCGGCUGACUUUGUAAACUCGAUCUCAAAUCAAGUAAGACUACCCGCUGAACUUAA